UGGGGGAGUAUUGCACAAUGGGGGGGAACCCGUGAUGCAGCGACGCCGCGUGGGUGAAGAAGCGCCUCGGCGCGUAAAGCCCUGUCAGCAGGGAAGAAAAUGACGGUACCUGAAGAAGAAGCCCCGGCUAACUACGUGCC
rnacentral:rRNA from 1 species